rnacentral:rRNA from 1 species
UCUUCCGCAAUGGACGAAAGUCUGACGGAGCAACGCCGCAUGUAUGAUGAAGGUCUUCGGAUUGUAAAGUACUGUCUUUGGGGAAGAACGGUCUUCUUGAGAAUAUUAAGAAGACAUGACGGUACCCAAGGAGGAAGCCCCGGCUAACUACGUGCCAGCAGCCGCGGUAAUACGUAGGGGGCGAGCGUUGUCCGGAAUUAUUGGGCGUAGAGGGCGCGUAGGCGGAUAUUUAAGUCCGGUGUGAAAGAUCAGGGCUCAACCCUGAGAGUGCAUCGGAAACUGGGUAUCUUGAGGACAGGAGAGGAAAGUGGAAUUCCACGUGUAGCGGUGAAAUGCGUAGAUAUGUGGAGGAACACCAGUGGCGAAGGCGACUUUCUGGACUGUAACUGACGCUGAGGCGCGAAAGCGUGGGGAGCAAACAGGAUUAGAUGCCCUGGUAGUCCACGCCGUAAACGAUGAGUGCUAGGUGUAGAGGGUAUCGACCCCUUCUGUGCCGCAGUUAACACAAUAAGCACUCCGCCUGGGGAGUACGGCCGCAAGGUUGAAACUCAAAGGAAUUGACGGGGGCCCGCACAAGCGGUGGAGCAUGUGGUUUAAUUCGACGCAACGCGAAGAACCUUACCAAGGCUUGACAUCCUACGAACUUCCUGGAAACAGGGAGGUGCCCUUCGGGGAGCGUAGAGACAGGUGGUGCAUGGUUGUCGUCAGCUCGUGUCGUGAGAUGUUGGGUUAAGUCCCG